GCAUCUUGCUUGGUAUUUUCUUUUGAGCACCAUAAGGUUUCGUGAGUUUCUGUUCCUAAGGGUGCGUCUUGUCAUUACGUUUUUAUUUUGUUGCGGUUGUGCUGACUUUGCUGAGUUGAUGUUUUCUUCCCCAGUAUUGGGUGGAAUGAAAUCCCAUGUAUAAAAAUCAGGAAGGCCAGGAGCAAUGAGCCCAACAUCCAACUGGUCACUGAAUACAUAGGAUGUCCCACUCUUUUCUAAAAACUUGACGCUGAUAUCAGCACUUUGUUCAGGAGCAACAAUCACCUGGUCAAGAAGAAAAAUGACAAAUUUAAUUUUCUAUGACAAGCCAUCAAGGCUCAGAAACUGAAUUUUUCUUCUGAACAUCUGGAUCCUCUAAAAAGCCAUUGUUGAGACUGACAUUCAUGCUAAGGAAAAUAUAAGAUAUGAAUCAAAACAAUAUUCAAGUUAAUGGGAAACUAUUUCUAAAUUCUAUUGAAAUUAGAAAGCUUACAAAAAUGCACAACAGCACAGCCGGUGGAGCUCUUAGGACAUAGGCAGCCAGCCUUUAGUACCGGUGCAAUUUACGGCUGCAAAAGAUCCAGAACUUGUAUGGUGAAGGACUUCACAGCAUGAUGGUCAUGGCAAGUGUCCUCAGAGAGAAAUAAUAGACUCUGAUUGCCACACCUCUAGAAAGGCACCACUGAGUGGACUGAUUUGGUUUUUCCCAAAAUGAGCACUUUUUACUUCUGCAUAGGCAGCCUUCCUAUUUUCCUUGAAAUCCAGCACCAUAACAAGCUCAUCUGAAAAAAAAAAAAGUCUUACUAUAGAACACUUGAGGCAUACAAUAUGGUUCAAAUUUGCAAUCGAUUCUGGUCCACUUCUUCCAGAGAACAUCUUGACAGCCAUAAAUGUCAUGACAGAAGACAUUGAAAGGUCUCAUUCUGUUGAGACACACUUUACAGGCUCCAACAAAAGACAAAAAAAUACAUAAAUAUAUAUGAGAUACAUAUAAAAACAUUUAAAGAUAUAAUCAAUGCAUUUAAUGUUGGGCA